CGCAAUGACGCAAACCACGCAAAUCUCUAAUUUUCUAUGAGAGAGACUGACAGAAAAUAAGAUCGACUUUUUGGGGUUUCAUCAAAAUUUUGGGGCAAAUUCUAGCGAUUUUGUCUGGAAUUCGCAAUUAGGCUCCAGAUUAAUCGAAUUUCUUGGCUGCGACAUUCUCUCACGUUGCUUGCUUGCUGUUCAUCGAGCAGGAGGGUUGAAUUGGGGUUUCGCAUAAUAAUUCGAACAAGUUAAGAGGAGGUAUGUAAUCUGUUCACAAUCUGUUGUUAUUCUGGUAUGUUAUCUAUGUUUGUAUGGGGUUCGUCGCGUUCUUUACAAGCAUUAUGUUUGACAGAUGUGAAUCAUUUGUGAGGUUGAAAUUUGGACGUUUGGUUUGUGUUGUGGUAGAUUAUUGGUGCAAUAUUAGCUAUUUUCUUCGAUUUUGUUUUGAAUGAGUGCAAAUAUGACUGUGUUCGAUGAGAUUAUUGAUAUACCGGAUGGUCGAAAUUGAUUAAAACAUCGAAUCCUAGUUAUGAGAUAGAUUAAUUAGGGGUUUUACAGAACAGCCUUGCAGGGUCAAAAUGUUGCUGCUAUGUGAAUGUGGUGAUCGUUGUAGCUGAAUAAAACUAGGCUUUGUAACACUCAAAAUUAAUGACUGAUUAUCAAGAAAAUAUGCAAAAUUUAUACAAUGUACCUUGUCAAACUCUGAAGAAAAUGGACGGAAAUUGUGGACAGGGCAUGAGAAAAGAAGGGGUUAACGCAGCCUAUCUCGUACUAUUGAAACAUAUAACUUCACUAUGAGUAUUAACAGAAAAAAGAAAAGUCUUAUUUUAAAUUUUGGCAUUUUCAUGAAUGUGUCUCAAGUAGUGAUUUGAAGUCAACUAAGUGAAUGAUCUGAUUUUGUUUGUUUAUUGAUGAGAAUUGAUUAAUCUGUUCUCCUGUAAGUUGCUAUGCUUCUGCUGUCUAUCAUUUGUGCCAUUGAUUUGUUCAUGUUCUCUUAGAAUUUAACUAUCUGGAUCACAACGUAUGGCAGUUUUAUAUGUCUUCUUGCUUGAGUUAUAAGGAAUUAGAUAUAUAAAUGCAGAAAUUUGCAUGUCCAGAACAAUGCUUAUUAAAUCUGUUUAGCUAAUGAUGAAUGACUGUUCUGUGUGACAUUCUACUUAAUGUAACUUUAUCUAGUUGACUUGUGUGUCCUUGUGCUCUUUUUACAUUCAUAAUAGCUUAUAAUAAUAUUGCAGAAACCUUGAUCCUGUUCAUAAGGAUCUUCAAACUUGAUCCUCAUCUUUUCAGCUUGACGACUUGCUACCUCUUGAGCCAAUGUCCAAUCAUAAAAUCUCCUGCUUUCAUCAUCACUCAAAACAUUGUAGAUUUCUCUAAGUCUCAUGAACUUCUCUGAUGAGGAUCAAAUCUUACAAUCUUUCACCAUAGAAAGAAUCUGAUUAAAUAUAGAGUGAAAUUCAUUAAUUGAAACUGUAGAGUUUCAAUUUUAGAAGUUUAUUCUCGUUCUUCAAGCUGUAUUUUCUAUCCUUGAAUGGGGAAGAGGUUAUAAUCUCAAGAAGUUUAGAGGAGACCUCAUUUCUGGUCCUCACUAUUGCUAGUCUAUGUAUCCCUCAUGUAUGCAAUGAAAUUCCAUUGUUUCCGGUCCAAAAAUCAUCUGUGACUCUCUUUGUUUUGUUGGUGUAACAGGAUAUAGCGUAUUCUAAACUUGAAAACUUAGACCCGCAAUAUGGAUUGUGUAAGCUCUACUGGCACAACUCUAGUUUUUAUUUAGCAGUCAGGGUGUAAAUAUGCGAUAUUAAUUAAUUAAAUUUAGUUCGUGCUUUGUCUAUAUACAACUGAAUUACUUAUACAGUGUCUCUUUGAGCCAAGGCCGUUGUAGCCUUCAACACUUGCUCAAUUGGGGUCUUGGGGAGAAUCAAAGGAAUUGCAGUUGUCUAUAGUUUGUGUUUGCUGUUUUGAGUAAUGAGGUUAAAUUAAAAAAAAAAAACACGAAUCUUAUAAAAAAUACUCCUAAUAUGAUAAUCAGGCAAUCAUUCAGAUUAUUCUUCUUGAUAUUGAUUGAUUGGAGCUUCGGAGUUCUUGAAAGUUAUCUAUUUUUUAAUCAUCAGAUGAAUUGCCAGGUGAAAUUUCUUACCUCUAACCAACUGUCAUUUCUUCUGCCUUAUUUGCUAUCAGAUUAGAGGAAGAGAGGGACUCAACUUUAUCUAAUCUAGAGAGAAUGAUUCUGAAUUAACUAAGAGAGUGUUUAUUAGGGUUAAUUGGAUCUGGAGAGCGGGAUUCCCAAUUAACUAGAGUUGGUUUUUUAGGGUUCGAAGUUCGUAAUACGGAAAUCACAACUCACUAGCAAAGAGUUUUUUUUAGGGUUCAUCGAAUUUCUUGCAAGUUACCGGAUUUAUGGAUUGCUGGAUCUCUUGAUACAAGGACCUGGUGGCUUAAUGAGUAUUCCGGUAGCAGGAAUUUCACCAGAGUCUGUAAGUUCCACAUAAAGCAUUUAUAAAGCCACUCUUUCAUUGAGUACCGCAUUACAACUAACAUCCUAAAAGAUGUAGCAGAAGAGCAAGCUUUCUUCGAAUUACUGUAAGGAAUUUUGACUUGGCAUGCUGUUUUUGUGUUCAUCCAAACUAACAGUACCUAUUUUUUCAAUGUAGUUCUUUAAGGGGGAGAGUGUACUUGUAUAGUUGGACAGAAGGAUCUGAUCUGGCGAUGCUCAAUUUAUUCUAAGCAACCAUUGUCUGUUCUUUACCGCAACAGCCUCAAGGUGUGCAUUGUCACAGAAAUCCACAUAUGCAAGACCCCUUGAUUUCCCAGUAUGCAAGGCCCCUCGCUAUAUUAUUGUUCCUGCUCAGAAUUUUGUUUAUCUCCUAUGAGCACUUUCGAUUCUUACUGUCCUUUCACACAAGAGCAGGCGUGGCAGCAUGUAUGGUCCUGCUGCAGCCAAACUGCACAAUACGGAGUAUAAUUUUUCUGAACUUGGCACAAUUAUUUUUCAUGGAAUUAUCAACUGAUUAAACAUGUGAUUUAGGACAAAUCUACAAUACUGCAACAUAACUGAUGAGUGUAAAAAUGCUCCAACUUCUUUGCUGUAGAAUGUUAGUAUGGAGUAUUCUACUGCAUUUAAAUUUCUUUGCUAUUAGCUCUGUAGGAAAUGAUACUGUAAAAUCCGAAAAUGGGAAUAAAAUGUGGGCCGAAUA